AUGUGGGCUUGCCUGCUUCUCUCUGCAGCUCUUGUGGCUGCAUCUUGUUUUCUGUAGUCCCAUGAGCUCCGAUGAGCAGGAAGGACCUCUUUGAUCUGUGAGGACUGGGGAGCAGGCUAAGUUCCCUGGGCACCCAUGUCCCGAGCACACUUGUAAGAGGCUGGACUUGGUCUUGGUCUUGGGGAGUAAGGCUUUGGAUCAUUCAGAAUGAGGCAGCAUUUGACAUCAAAGUGGUCACCUCCACAGCCGGUUUGUCCUGCUUAAUACUCAGAAGGAAGCAGAGGGACCAUCAGCCACCCGCAGAGAGCCUAUGGUCUACCUCCUAUGAAAGAAUGCACGAGCAGGUGAGGAGUCCUGACGAGAGUUCAGCGAGACAACUGGAGUCCAGAAGAUCUGGGGUCCAUAUCAGUGGCCUGGGCUGAGUUGGGAGACCUGGAAGAACUAAGAAGGAGACAAGGAACAUCAGUACACCACCUCUCACACUAGAGAUGCUCCACCUCCAACAUACUCAGCUGACUCUGCUGACUCCCUGGAUCUUCCUGAGCUGAUCCAGCCAGCUAAAGCACUUCCAUGUUCUCUGGGGUCUCAUUUUACCACCACUGAGGAAUCCUGGAAGGUUUCACCACGCCAGCCCUCCAACAAUAUGCAAAAGGAUGUCAGCGAAUGCAUGUCCAUGUGCGCAUGCCCACAGAUUCUCCUGGAUGAAGUGCCUACAGUUCCCAUCAUUCCCCAGAGGACUUUGCGACUUCAAAUCGUAAGAACUAAGCAUCUCAGGUAGGCUGUGGCCUGAGCCUUUCCUAGUCUCUUCAAAAGCUUUCUUCAAGACAGAAGAAGACCCUAUCGAGGUGAAGCCAAGUUAGGAACUGCUUCUGUGCUUCCAGUCUUGUGGCUCUGGGCACAUCCUGCGACCUCCUGGGCUCAUUAUCAUUGCUGGUAGAACACUACCUUCUUUCAGAGUUCCUGUGGGAAUUGACUUAGCUUGUAGCAUGAUCAUGAACUAUUAUAUCCAUAAAAGCGAUAGGAAGUGUUGACAUGGGAUCCAUUAUGUGAAGGUCAUGAAGGCUCGUUUAUAUGAUUGAACACAGGACAAAUCCAAACUCUAGCACAUACAUGAAACUAGAGCAAUGGCCCUAUCCCCAGCCAGUCUCUGUCAAUGUCUACUCACUUAGGCUCACAAGCAGGAACUGGAGGCUGAGGAACCUGAGCAAAGGCUAGGGGUGGAUCCAUUCGUUAGAGCAUCAAUAAAGGACCAUCAAGGGGAAACUCCUGGUCAAGCCGAUAAAUGCUCUGUCCUGUGCUGAACCAAUCACCUGACCAAGGGACCACCCUUAGGAAGGCAGGGCUCACCUUAAGCCUGCUAAGGAGAUGGGUGAAAUACUUUUUCCUUCAAGAAGACUCUACAUAGUCUUCACAGAACCCCCACUCCUAAUGUGGUAGCUUACAGAGAGGUAGCAAGACGGCUUCAUAGAUCUUCCCACUUCGGAAUCCCUCAGAAAAGCAUAACUUUUCAUUUUCACAUGCUCUAUCCAUGCUCAGACCACACUUUCCCUAAUGCCUUGGGCUUUCCCAUCUUUCUUUAAAGCCCCCCUCCCUGCCACAUGAGUGCUUGUCCUAUGUCUGCCCUCUGUACUGGCUCACAGAGAGCAAUUUCCCCCCUUCUCUUCUUCAUUCUUGUCCUCCGGGCAGCUGCUAAGGUUUACAGCUGGGGUGUUUUCCUUUUAAUCUCUACUAAAAUUGUCUUCAGACUUC
rnacentral:lncRNA from 1 species